AUUGAACGCUGGCGGCGUGCUUUACACAUGCAAGUCGAACGGUAACAGGCCGCAAGGUGCUGACGAGUGGCGAACGGGUGAGUAAUGCAUCGGAACGUGCCCUGUCGUGGGGGAUAACGCAGCGAAAGCUGUGCUAAUACCGCAUACGAUCUAUGGAUGAAAGCGGGGGACCGUAAGGCCUCGCGCGAUUGGAGCGGCCGAUGUCAGAUUAGGUAGUUGGAGGGGUAAAGGCCCACCAAGCCAACGAUCUAUAGCUGGUCUGGGAGGACGACCAGCCACACUGGGACUGAGACACGGCCCAGACUCCUACGGGAGGCAGCAGUGGGGAAUUUUGGACAAUGGGCGCAAGCCUGAUCCAGCAAUGCCGCGUGCAGGAAGAAGGCCUUCGGGUUGUAAACUGCUUUUGUACGGAACGAAACGGUCUGGGUUAAUACCCUGGGCUAAUGACGGUACCGUAAGAAUAAGCACCGGCUAACUACGUGCCAGCCGCCGCGGUAAUAC
rnacentral:rRNA from 1 species